GUCUAAGGUCAAACCACAAUACAUAUACACCACUAAUAAUCAAUAAUACACAUACAACUAAUAAUUCAAAUGAUAAUGAUACACAUAUACAACCAAUAAGUAGUAACACAUACCUAUAUAAUAAAGAAUAAUAACCAAUAGUUUUUAAUCCAUCACAUCCCACUUGUCUAUUCUAUUUUAAUUAUUUAGCCAAAAGGUCAGUCCUUAGUCUACGUUGAUGUCAGCUGGAGUUGAAUUAGUCAGGAGGGCCUGACCCUCGUAAAGGAGGAAGAUCAUGACCAAUCCAACACUCUUUUUCCUUUCACAUGCAGACGUAUCAUGAAUCAAAAUAAAAUGGCGGAUUUAAAACGUGACCACUUGAUGGUUCAUCCUCCCUCUCCUCUCUCUCUCUCUUACAGUGUCAAUGAAGAAUAUGAUCCCUGAUUGAUUGCUUUGUGUCUUUUUGCUCAUUUUUUAUUGAUCUUAGUCAAGUUCAGAAGUUCUAUUUUUGGUCAAAUUUUAUUAUAAGAAGGUACAUUAAAAAUGUGGGUAAGUGUUUAUCACCUGUUUGCAUUAUGUGCAUGUACAUGUAUGUAUUAAAUUUAAGGCUAAAAU